GAGGCUUCUAGUCUUCCCCCACGACUUCUUCGUAAGGGAGGGUCCUGGGAGCUGCAGAGUGGAGAGAGGCUGCUUUCUCUGACAGGUGGGACCGACAGGGCUGGGGGACAAGGAGGGGACACGGAGUCUGGCCAGGAGCGCCAGGAUGGCCCUUGAGCCAUAGGCAACGGAGCGACAACCCCACACUGGCCAAUGAAAGCCACCAAUCCAGGAUGGGCAGCUAGAAGCCAAGCUCCUCCUUUCUCAGCCCUGUUCAGGCCUCACCAGAAGCAUAAGGAACCGACUCCCUGACGCUCGCAUUCAGCAACAGGGCACAGGUGCCAAUAGGCUCUUCCCCAGACUCAGCCGAGAACCAACCAAGGUUCCUGGGCUGAAAUUCAAGGAGAGAUGGGGUUAGUGAUGAGGAAAAGUUAAAAUGCCAAAUCCCUGAUGCAGUGACCCAAGGAGACUCUGGCAUCUGUGCCCAUCUGGGAGUACAGGCAGUUCCUGCUCUCAGGCACCUGGCCCUUGAAUUCUGAGAUUCUGCUCUUCUCGGAAGAACAGUUACUACCGGGAAAGUGGAAAAAAAAGAGAAGAAGAAGAAGAAGGAGGAGGAGGAGGAGAAGGAGAAGACGACACUUUAUCUAGUAUGUUAUCCGCACGGCAUGAGGGAGAAGUGAGAUGCACUUAAACGUGGUUACCAAAGCCUCGGUCCUCAACGGCAUAGGAAGAUCUUUCCUCGGAAGACGAAACCCGUCAAGACAACUGCUAGGCCUCUGCUCCAACCCUCGACCUUCUCUUCUUGUCUACCGUUUCCCUAGCUUUCAGCACCACGAUGAUACGAGUACUGUGUGAACUCUGGGAGAAACUGGUUUUAUUUUCAUUAACCUUUAGCCAUGUAGGUCAGACAAAGAGGAAGGGCCUUGGAGAAAUGCAGAAGUAAUGAGGCCAUUUUCCAUCAGGCGGAAUGUGGGACGGAGACCAUACAGAGACCAGGUCAUUCCAUGACAGCCAGACAAUAUGUGACGACAGCCUACGAAUGACCCACAGCGUAUCCACUGGUUGGCUGGCUUUAGUGUUGCAGAGGCAGAGAAAAAGUUUGCUGACUCCGGUAUGCAUGAAGAGCUUAUAAUGGUGGUACACAGGAAUGAGGAGGAGGAGGAGGAGGAUGACGACUUAGCAUUUGCCUCAGAGCCCCUCCACCAAGGUCCCCCCACUCUGGUGACACCCUGACUGUCUGACCGGUGGGGCACUGUAUCAGGCUCUGGGGACCAGGGAAGAACAGAAGAGAGGGUCCAAGUCUGCUCCGGUGGGGCUUACAACGGAGGAGACAAGGGAGUAACCACAAAGGAGGUAGUUAACAAACUGUGGUAAGUCCUCUGAAGGAGAUCAACAGGAUGUUGAGAUAAAGAAACAGAAGCAGCCCCUGCAGACAGGAAGGCCUUCUGGAGGAGGCGACACAUGAACAGUCAGGGGAGGAUGAGAAGGAGCGAGCGGGAGGACCCGCGGAACAGACCCCGCAGGCGGAGGGACAGACAGCAAGGGGAAGGACUGCUUCUGGGAAAGGCCUUGCCAUGUUUGGGAAACACAGAGGAGGCCCGCGUGGCCUAAUGUCAGGGACGAGAGGAAGAGCAGGCGACGGGGCAGAGGCCAGAGCACAUGGGCCGGGCUGCCUGCAGGAAGGAAUCCGGGUUCAUUCUAAGAACAAAGCCACGGGAAACAGCAGGAGUAUUUUAAGGAACUAAUGACAGUGUCUGCUCUGGAGCCUAAGAAGACCAGGGCAGGUGCCGCAUGGAGAAGGGCCUGGGAGGGCCGGGGGCAGGGGGACCGCAGUGGGGAGGCUGAUGGAGUGGAGACGCUGCCGCGGUGGGGCAGAGAGCACAGACCUGGACGCUGGUGGUGGAGGGGAAAUGAGGCUGUCCAGUGACCGUAUGCGGGGCUGGGGGGUGGCGGGAGGACCGGAGGCCGACUCCAGGACUGGGCCUCACCCCCGGGGGGAGGUGGUGCCUGCUGAGAUGGGGAAGAAUGAAGGCAGAGGAAGGGAGGUCAGGCGUCAUCUGGGAGCACGGGGAGAGAGCCACCGCUUUGCCUGAAGACACCCCUUCCCUUCGGAGACGAUGACCUCAGGCCCCACCCCACCCCAGGGCGACUUGCCUAAAUAGAUCCCCUUCUUUCCUCCGGUCUUUUCAUGCUCGUGAGUGUUCCCUCGCUCACCGCUCUGCGGCACGUGCCCUCGCUUUCUCUGCGUCCCCGUGUUCCUCCCCCGGCCCCUGUGAUAGUGACCAGCGGCAGUUCUGAUGGCAGAGCUGGGUCCCGAGAGCCCACCCACGGUCCCCUCCCGUACAGCCGGCACCCCGUGAAGGCUCGAGUCACAUCACACCCUGUGGGUGGGCCCAGCUCCUCACUCACGGGGACGCACUGUCACUCACGUGCAGAAGCCGCACCUCCCCUGCACGGGUGCAGCACCCCCCCGCAUCGGGACCCUUGACUCAGCGACUGCUCUUCCUCCACCCAGAGCUGCCUUUCUCAUGUCUCUAGCCCCUCCUCCACACGUUCUACUCCUCACUUCACCCAAUGAGUUAUUCUGAAUUCACAGUUCCACAGGACUAUCUCCCACUAAAGGUUUAUUCAUUCAA